ensembl:lncRNA
AAGGCAUUUCAUACUUGUGUUAGUGUGCACUAGUCUCAUCAAUUUUGCUCUGUUUCAUCAUUCUAGAUUAAUAAAAUUCAGCCUAACAUUUUUAUUUUAUUUUUUCCUAAGACCAUAAAAGGUACUUAUUAGUAGGAGAGAGAUGUUUAUUUAGAGAAAUGCCUGGAAAAGAGAUGCUAAGGAGUAAAUAACUCUGUUUUAACAGAAACUACCAGUUGAACCAUGUUGAACAUAGUGCUGCUCAAAUUUAUGCCACUAAAAGGACACCAAUGCCUACACUAAUGAAAAUGGAGGCAACAUGCCUCUUUUUGUUGUGUUCUAUAAAUAAACCUAAUAUAUCAAUACACAUAUUUAAUACAAAAAUAUUGAGAAAUUAUUCAACAUUUUUGUGUUGUGUGCCUCUGUAUUUAAAGCUGCCCAAAGAGAGAAAUACUAAUUUUGAUCAAUAAUUAAAUUGAUAAAAUAGCAACUUACUUCAAUCUAUUUAAUGAAAUGCUUUAUUUAAUAAGCUGUAUAACUGGCCGGCAGCUGUAUAAAUUUGGCCCGGCCGCUAUCCUGUCCACAUGCAGCCGUCAGCCCAGCACAGCCUCGGUGAUCACCGAAGGGAAGGGAACGAAGGGAAGGGAGGAAGCGGAGUGGGAGCCGCGCAGCAUGGGGCCAGGAGAUCACCGGCUUGGUGGUGCAGAAAGAGAAGAGGAUUUAAACUUCCAAAACACUAUGACAAAUCAGUUAUGGAAAAAUAUGCCUCAAAAAGAAGGGCAACUCAGAACAUGGCACAGAGAACUGCAGGACAAGUAUAUCGACAUAAUUAAUGCAGAAGGUAAAAAUAAAGUCAGGGUUCAAAGGAAAAAAUAUAUUUAUAUAUAAAUAUAUAUAUAUAUCAAACAGAAGUUGAUAAAUAGGGUAAUCUGGAUUGGAGAAAAUUCUGAGAAACUUGUUAGAGUCUUAGACAACAUCAUGCGCUAAAGCAUGGAAAAUCAAUCCAUUGCACCCAUACCCACAGGGAAAAUCAAUCCACUGCACCCAUACCUGUGUUGUGGCAGCAAAAAAAAGCCAACAACAACAACAAAAAAGACUUGGUCACUGAACAGAUCAAUCAGUCAGUGUGUUUGAUCAGAUUUUUAGCAACCUCUGCAGCCUAUAUUUACACUAAUGCAUAGCUGGUGCAAGGCAGAAUAUUUAGGCACUAUUUAGAAGUGUUUGUAUGCUCCUCUUUGAAAUUUCUGAACUGAGUCAGAAGUUCUUGCUCUAGCAAAGCUGAAUGAGCUGGUUAUUAGUAAUGAAAUCUAAUCACAGAGGGAGAUACUCAGAGUGUGAACCUACUUCAUAACAGGCAAGAGAGAACAAUUUCAGCAGGGCAGAAAACGUACAUUUCAUUCUCUUGUUAUAUGCCUUGGCAGGGGAGAAAGCCUAAAUGGAGUAUGUAACAGAGACUCUGAAACUCUGAGAUGGAUUAUGUGAUUUACAAGAGAGAAGUGGGGGAGGAGGGAGGGUAAAAAAUUAAAAGAAAAGGAAAAAAAAAAAAAGUAAUACUCAUAUUUCCUGUUUCACUUAAUUUGUGUUAUGACCAAUUUAUAGUAAUGGUUCAUGUUGUUUUGCCCACCCAACUAAUACAGAAAGGGGCAAGCCGUGGAACAACCUCCAUCUUCCCACACUGCACCUAUUCUUUGAAUAUUAGAACCUGAGAUAUCCUAGCUCAGAGGGGUUGUUGUUCUGAUUGCCUUUUUAUAGGUACAUACAUGACAAAGAAGAUUUUUGCUGUCUGUGUUAAAGAAUAAACCAUUUUCUCAUUUAGUUUAAUAUCA